rnacentral:rRNA from 1 species
AUGAAUAAAAUUGCACCGGAGUUCAGGAAUGCUGUCGCCAAGGGACGGGCGCCAUUUGGGUUCUCCUUCAUAUUUGCGCUGGAUGAAGGGUCUGGUCUGAUGGUAAAACAUCCGUUGGAGCAGGGGGAUGCUUUGCGUGAGAAUACAAGGUCGUGCCGCUAUGAGUGUCCUGCGAUAAUAAGGCUGCUACGGACAUUAGAUAAUGGGGGGGGGGUACAUAACGGAGCACCGGGUAGAGCAUAA